AUUGAACGCUAGCGGGAUGCCUUACACAUGCAAGUCGAACGGAGUGGCGAACGGGUGAGUAAUGUAUCGGAACGUGCACAGUAGCGGGGGAUAACUCCGAGAAAGCGUAGCUAAUGACGCAUACUAUUGGAGCGGCCGAUAUCGGAUUAGCUAGUUGGUGGGGUAACGGCUAACCAAGGCGACGAUCCGUAGCUGGUUUGAGAGGACGACCAGCCACACUGGGACUGAGACACGGCCCAGACUGCUACGGGAGGGAGCAGUGGGGAAUUGUGGACAAUGGGGGAAACCCUGAUCCAGCCAUCCCGCGUGUGUGAUGAAGGCCUUCGGGUUGUAAAGCACUUUUGGCAGGAAAGCGGUACCUGCAGAAUAAGCACCGGCUAACUACGUGCCAGCAGCCGCGGUAAUAC
rnacentral:rRNA from 1 species